rnacentral:tRNA from 1 species
GGGGUUGUGGCUCAGCGGUAGAGCGCUCACCUGGCAUGUGCGAGGUCCUGGGUUCGAUCCGCAGUGCCACA